rnacentral:ribozyme from 14 species
AAAAAAGAAAAAAGAAAAAAAAGAAAAAGAAUUGGGAUUUUCG